UACGGAAGGGGGCUAGCGUUGCUCGGAAUCACUGGGCGUAAAGGGUGCGUAGGCGGGUCUUUUAAGUCAGGGGUGAAUCCUGGAGCUCAACUCCAGAACUGCCUUUGAUACUGAAGAUCUUGAGUUCGGGAGAGGUGAGUGGAACUGCGAGUGUAGAGGUGAAAUUCGUAGAUAUUCGCAAGAACACCAGUGGCGAAGGCGGCUCACUGGCCCGAUACUGACGCUGAGGCACGAAAGCGUGGGGAGCAAACAGGAUU
rnacentral:rRNA from 1 species